rnacentral:rRNA from 1 species
AUUGAACGCUGGCGGCAUGCUUUACACAUGCAAGUCGAACGGUAACAGGGUGCUUGCACCGCUGACGAGUGGCGAACGGGUGAGUAAUGCGCCGGAACGUGCCGAGUAGUGGGGGAUAACGCAGCGAAAGUUGUGCUAAUACCGCAUACGUACUGAGGUAGAAAGUGGGGGACCUUCGGGCCUCACGCUAUUCGAGCGGCCGACGUCUGAUUAGCUAGUAGGUGAGGUAAAGGCUCACCUAGGCGACGAUCAGUAGCGGGUCUGAGAGGAUGAUCCGCCACACUGGGACGGGGACACGGCCCAGACUCCUACGGGAGGCAGCAGUGGGGAAUUUUGGACAAUGGGCGAAAGCCUGAUCCAGCCAUACCGCGUGUCUGAAGAAGGCCUUCGGGUUGUAAAGGACUUUUGUCGGGGAGGAAAUCCCCAGCGUUAAUACCGCUGGGGGAUGACAGUACCUGAAGAAUAAGCACCGGCUAACUACGUGCCAGCAGCCGCAGUAAAAC